rnacentral:rRNA from 1 species
GGAGGAAGGUGGGGAUGACGUCAAAUCAUCACGGCCCUUACGUCCUGGGCUACACACGUGCUACAAUGGAUUGGACAAUGAGCAGCCACUUGGCAACAAGAGGCAAACUAUAUAACCAUAUCACAGUUCGGAUCGGAUGCUGCAACUCGACUCCGUGAAGCUGGAACUGCAUGAUAUCGGAAUUCAGCCAUGAUSCGGUGAAUACGUUCCCGGGCCUU